UAGGGAAUCUUCCGCAAUGGACGAAAGUCUGACGGAGCAACGCCGCGUGAGUGAAGAAGGAUUUCGGUUCGUAAAACUCUGUUGUUAGGGAAGAAAAAAUGUAUAGUUACUAUAUACAAAAGAGACGGUACCUAACCAGAAAGCCACGGCUAACUACGUGCCAGCAUCCGCGGUAAUACGUAGGUGGCAAGCGUUGUUCGGAAUUAUUGGGCGUAAAGCGCGCGCAGGUGGUUUAGAAAGUAUGAUGUGAAAGCCCACGGCUCAACCGUGGAGGGUCAUUGGAAAAUAAUAAACUUGAGAGCAGGGGAGAAAAGUGGAAUUCCUAGAGUAGCAGUGAAAUGCGUAGAGAUUAGGAGGAACACCGGUGGCGAAAGCGGCUUUUUGGCCUGCAACUGACACUGAGGCGCGAAAGCGUGGGGAGCAAACAGG
rnacentral:rRNA from 1 species